GGGAGCCCUGGAAUCGUGACCUGAGCCGAAGGCAGAUGCUUCACUGGCAGAGCCACCCAGUUGCCAGGGAGACACGGGUCUGAAGCUUCUAGGAGCAGUCCGGCCUGGUGCUACGGAUGACUGCGCAGAAGAGCAUGAGAUGCUGUGGCUGGGGUGGGAGGACCACCCGGAGAACGUGGCGGUGUGCAAGCCAGGAGGAAGAGGAGGGGGCGGCCAGCAGAGGCAGGGUGCUCCCGAGGGGACAACGGUAUGUCCAGCAGGUAUCGGCGUGGGAUCAUUGUUGUUGCAGAAAGUGGGAGAGAGCAGAAACCCUUUCACGUUGCCUGUGAGAAUGGAAAAUGGUGUGGCCACCGUGGGACACUAUGGUUUGGCAGUUCCCCACCAAGUUCGGCCCAGAGUGACCGUCCGACCCAGCAGUUCCACUCCGAGGUAUGUGCCCAAGGGGAUAAAACAUACAUGGAUGGACUGAAUGUUUGUGUCCCCCCAGAUUCAUAUGUUGAAGCCCUGACCCCCAAUACGAUGAUUCUGGGAGGUCCAGCCUAUGAGGGUGCGGCCCCCAUGAUGGGAUUCGUGUCUUAUAAGAAGAGGAAGAGGGGUGUCUAGGUGGCGCAGCGGGUUUCGGCUCAGGUCAUGAUUGCAGGGUAGUGGGAUCGAGGCCCUGGAUGGGCUCCCUGCUCGUCGGCGGGGAGUGUGCUGGAGAUUGGCCCUUGCCCUCUGCCGCUCCCCACUACUCGCUUUCUCUCUCUCUCUCUAAUAAAUAAAUCUUAAAAAAAAGAAGAAGAAGAGGCAGACAUGAGCUCUGUCUUUGUCUGCUGUGUGAGCAGACAGCAAGAAGACAGCCAUCUGCAAGCCAGGAAGGCGGCCUUCCCCAGAGCCCGCCACGCCAGAGGCCUGAUCGCACGCUUCCAGCUCCAGGACCGUGAGAAAUCGUUUCUGUUGUUUGGCCACCCAGCCUGUGGCAUUUUGUGGUGCUGGCCCAAGCUGAGACCGUGUGUCCACAGAAACCUCGUACGUGAAUAGCCACAGCAGCAUUAUUCAAACAGCCGAAAAGUAGAAGCCACCCAGUGGUCAUCAAUGAAUGAAUGAAGAAAGAAAUGCGGUGUCUCCACACAAUGGCGUUUACUUGGCCAUAAAGAGAGCGGUGAAGACAUGCUGGCCGCAGCCUAGUGGGGGAGUGGGAGCGCAGUCAGUGUAGGGAGGCCAGUGUGCUGAGAGCUGGGGGCAGAGCUGCGAGG